AUUGAACGCUGGCGGCAUGCCUUACACAUGCAAAUCGAACGGUAACGGGCCUUCGUGUGCCGACGAGUGGCGAACGGGUGAGUAAUACAUCGGAACGUGCCCGAUCGUGGGGGAUAACGAGGCGAAAGCUUUGCUAAUACCGCAUACGAUCUACGGUUGAAAGCAGGGGACCGCAAGACCUUGCGCGGACUGAGCGGCCGAUGGCAGAUUAGGUAGUUGGUGGGAUAAAAGCUUACCAAGCCGACGAUCUGUAGCUGGUCUGAGAGGAUGAUCAGCCACACUGGGACUGAGACACGGCCCAGACUCCUACGGGAGGCAGCAGUGGGGAAUUUUGGACAAUGGGCGCAAGCCUGAUCCAGCCAUGCCGCGUGCAGGAUGAAGGCCUUCGGGUUGUAAACUGAUUUUGUACGGAACGAAAAGCCUUCUUUUAAUACAGGAGGGUCAUGACGGUACCGUAAGAAUAAGCACCGGCUAACUACGUG
rnacentral:rRNA from 1 species